rnacentral:lncRNA from 1 species
AAGCUCAAAACUUAAGAAAAAUGGUGGGGAUUUGGAGGAAGAACAAAAGAUUUGGGAGAGGGAGGUUGGAAGCUAGCUGUGGCUGAAAAUGGGAGAAAACUCACCCAUUUCGGCUAAGUCCCCUUUUUUAUAGGUGGCUGGCCAGGCCACGUUCGGGGGCCGAAUGUGCCUCCGAAUCCAUGCAAUGUUCGGCGGCCGAACUUGACUUUCGGCAGCCGAACCUGGACUUCCCUCACUCAUGCUUUCGGGGGCCUAAAGCACUCCCGAAGCGCAUGCAAGUUCGGCGGCCGAACCUGACUUUCGGCGACCGAACCUG